AGAGAUUGAACAUAAGAGUUUGAUCCUGGCUCAGAUUGAACGCUGGCGGCAUGCUUUACACAUGCAAGUCGGACGGCAGCACAGAGAAGCUUGCUUCUUGGGUGGCGAGUGGCGAACGGGUGAGUAACAUAUCGGAACGUACCGAGUAGUGGGGGAUAACUGAUCGAAAGAUCAGCUAAUACCGCAUACGUCUUGAGAGGGAAAGCAGGGGACCUUCGGGCCUUGCGCUAUUCGAGCGGCCGAUAUCUGAUUAGCUAGUUGGUGGGGUAAAGGCCUACCAAGGCGACGAUCAGUAGCGGGUCUGAGAGGAUGAUCCGCCACACUGGGACUGAGACACGGCCCAGACUCCUACGGGAGGCAGCAGUGGGGAAUUUUGGACAAUGGGCGCAAGCCUGAUCCAGCCAUGCCGCGUGUCUGAAGAAGGCCUUCGGGUUGUAAAGGACUUUUGUCAGGGAAGAAAAGGCUGUUGCUAAUAUCAGCGGCUGAUGACGGUACCUGAAGAAUAAGCACCGGCUAACUACGUGCCAGCAGCCGCGGUAAUACGUAGGGUGCGAGCGUUAAUCGGAAUUACUGGGCGUAAAGCGGGCGCAGACGGUUACUUAAGCAGGAUGUGAAAUCCCCGGGCUCAACCCGGGAACUGCGUUCUGAACUGGGUGACUCGAGUGUGUCAGAGGGAGGUAGAAUUCCACGUGUAGCAGUGAAAUGCGUAGAGAUGUGGAGGAAUACCGAUGGCGAAGGCAGCCUCCUGGGACAACACUGACGUUCAUGCCCGAAAGCGUGGGUAGCAAACAGGAUUAGAUACCCUGGUAGUCCACGCCCUAAACGAUGUCAAUUAGCUGUUGGGCAACUUGAUUGCUUAGUAGCGUAGCUAACGCGUGAAAUUGACCGCCUGGGGAGUACGGUCGCAAGAUUAAAACUCAAAGGAAUUGACGGGGACCCGCACAAGCGGUGGAUGAUGUGGAUUAAUUCGAUGCAACGCGAAGAACCUUACCUGGUCUUGACAUGUACGGAAUCCUCCAGAGACGGAGGAGUGCCUUCGGGAGCCGUAACACAGGUGCUGCAUGGCUGUCGUCAGCUCGUGUCGUGAGAUGUUGGGUUAAGUCCCGCAACGAGCGCAACCCUUGUCAUUAGUUGCCAUCAUUCAGUUGGGCACUCUAAUGAGACUGCCGGUGACAAGCCGGAGGAAGGUGGGGAUGACGUCAAGUCCUCAUGGCCCUUAUGACCAGGGCUUCACACGUCAUACAAUGGUCGGUACAGAGGGUAGCCAAGCCGCGAGGCGGAGCCAAUCUCACAAAACCGAUCGUAGUCCGGAUUGCACUCUGCAACUCGAGUGCAUGAAGUCGGAAUCGCUAGUAAUCGCAGGUCAGCAUACUGCGGUGAAUACGUUCCCGGGUCUUGUACACACCGCCCGUCACACCAUGGGAGUGGGGGAUACCAGAAGUAGGUAGGGUAACCGCAAGGAGUCCGCUUACCACGGUAUGCUUCAUGACUGGGGUGAAGUCGUAACAAGGUAGCCGUAGGGGAACCUGCGGCUGGAUCACCUCCUUUCUA
rnacentral:rRNA from 1 species